GUGGGUCAAAGCCCCACUUAUGGGGCAGAGCCCCACUUAUGGGUCAGAGCCCCACUUAUGGGUCAGUCUGUGGGGGGUGAUGCUGUGGGGCAGCGUCAUGGAGUGUUGCUAUGGGGCAGAACUGUGGGGCAGGGCA
rnacentral:lncRNA from 1 species